GACGAACGCUGGCGGCGUGCUUAACACAUGCAAGUCGAACGGAAAGGUCCUGCUUUUGUGGGGUGCUCGAGUGGCGAACGGGUGAGUAACACGUGAGUCACCUGCCCUCGACUUUGGGAUAACUUCAGGAAACUGGGGCUAAUACCGGAUAGGAGCUCCUGCUGCAUGGUGGGGGGUGGAAAGUUUCGGCGGUUGGAGAUGGUCUCGGGGCUUAUCAGCUUGUUGGUGGGGUAGUGGCUUACCAAGGCUUUGACGGGUAGCCGGCCUGGGAGGGUGGCCGGCGCCAUUGGGACUGAGAUACGGCCCAGACUCGUACUGGAGACAGCGGUGGGGAAUAUUGCACAGUAGGCGGAAGCCUGAUGCAGCAACGCCGCGUGCGGGAUGACGGCCUUCGGGUUGUAAACCGCUUUCGCCUGUGACGAAGCGUGAGUGACGGUAAUGGAUAAAGAAGCACCGGCUAACUACGUG
rnacentral:rRNA from 1 species